GGAUUGUGGCUCAGUGGUAGAGUGCUUGCCUAGCACUUGUGAGGCACUGGGUUCGGUUCUCAGCACCG
rnacentral:tRNA from 1 species